GCCGGGGUAGCUCAGUUGGCAGAGCAGACGAUUCGUAAUCGUCAGGUCACGGGUUCAAGUCCCGUCUCCGGCU
rnacentral:tRNA from 1 species